rnacentral:rRNA from 1 species
GGCUUAGAGUUUGAUCAUGGCUCAGGACGAACGCUGGCGGCGUGCCUAACACAUGCAAGUCGAGCGAGAAUCUUUGGUUUGAAUCCUUCGGGAGGAUAACUGAAGAGGAAAGCGGCGGACGGGUGAGUAACGCGUGAGUAACCUGCCUUUAGGAGGGGGACAACAUUUCGAAAGGAAUGCUAAUACCGCAUAAUAUUAUCGUACCGCAUGGUAUGAUAAUCAAAGCGCUUAGCGCCUAAAGAUGGACUCGCGUCUGAUUAGCUAGUUGGUGGGGUAAAGGCCUACCAAGGCGACGAUCAGUAGCCGAACUGAGAGGUUGAUCGGCCACAUUGGGACUGAGACACGGCCCAGACUCCUACGGGAGGCAGCAGUGGGGGAUAUUGCGCAAUGGGGGGAACCCUGACGCAGCAACGCCGCGUGAAGGAAGAAGGUUUUCGGAUCGUAAACUUCUUUAAGUGUGGAAGAUAAUGACGGUACACACAGAAUAAGCCACGGCUAACUACGUGCCAGCAGCCGCGGUAAUACGUAGGUGGCGAGCGUUGUCCGGAUUUACUGGGUGUAAAGGGCGUGUAGGCGGGCAUACAAGUCAGAUGUGAAAUACCGGGGCUCAACCCCGGGGCUGCAUUUGAAACUGUAUAUCUUGAGUGUCGGAGAGGAAAGCG